rnacentral:rRNA from 2 species
UUUUUAUUUAAUUUAAAGUUUUUAUUUUUAAAUUAAAUUUGAUUGGGGUGAUGAAAAAAGAAUAAGUAUCUUUUUAACAAUUAAAAAUUAGUUCCGAUUUUAACGAUUAUAUGAUAAAAAUACUCUAGGGAUAACAGCGUAAUAAUUUUGGAUAGUUCAUAUAGAUAAAAUAGUUUGCGACCUCGAUGUUGGAUUAGGAUUCUUUUUUGGCGAAGAAGUUAAAAAAAGAAGUUUGUUCAACUUUUAAAUUCCUACAUGAUCUGAGUUCAGACCGG